rnacentral:lncRNA from 1 species
UAGUGGUAGGGUGUGUGGGAAGGGGGUGAAUGGGUUUAAGGCUCUGUUCACUUGUAAUUGCCAUUGUUUUGGAUUUUUCAUCUUGGGAUGUUGCAGUUUUUUCACAUCAAAUAUAUGCAUUUUCGGAGAAGAAAAACAGAAGCAUGGAAGUCAAUUGGGCUAUCCUUGUCCAAAUAGAUUUAUCCAAAAUGUACAAUCUCGUUUUGGGACAAUGGUCUAAGCCUUAAAAGAAUCACGUCCAAAUAAGACUAUAAUCAAGUAGGAUGUCCGCGGUGUCCAAAAAGUAAAAAUUUACUCUCUGGGUAUGAUUUUACCGAAACGUAAUUCUGCGGUUUAAAUAAAAAAUAAUUUAACAGAUUUGGAAAAUCAUUUUACGUUGGCGGAAAAUUGUGUAUAUGAUUUUGAUGGAAACAGAUUUAGCAAUUUGACGGGAAAUAUGGUUUUGCGGUUUCGAUGAGAAAAUUUAUUUUAAAUUUUCAGUUGAAAAUGUAAUUUUGGUAUUUUGUCCGGAAAACAUGAUUUUUUUUUGUUUCGACGGGAAACGAGAUUUUACACAGAAAAUAAUUUUGCAUUUUUGGUGGAAAAAUGUGAAUUUGCGGUGAUUUUGCAGUUAUGGUAGAAAAACUUAAUUUUACCAUUUUGUGAGACAACAUGAUUUUGAGCUUUUGGUGGAAAACAUGAUUUUGAAGUUUUGAUGGAAAAAAAAUUAUUUUAGGAUUUGACAGGAAAAUGUGAUUUUGCGGAUAUGUGGAAAAAUGUGAGUGUUGAUUUGUUGGAAAAUGCGAUUUUGCGUAUUUGACAAGAAAAUGUGAUUUUGUGGGUUUGAUGUGAAAAUAUGAUUUUUCAUUUUUAGCAAAGAUUAUGAUUUAAAGAUUUUGAGGAAAACUAUGAUUUCACAGAUUUAACGGGAAUAUAUGAUUUUAUGGUUUUAGCAA